rnacentral:rRNA from 1 species
CAGCUCAAAUUUGAAAUCUGGCCUCGGCCCGAGUUGUAAUUUGCAGAGGAUGCUUUUGGUGCGGUGCCUUCCGAGUUCCCUGGAACGGGACGCCACAGAGGGUGAGAGCCCCGUAUGGUCGGACACCAAUCCUGUGUAAAGCUCCUUCGACGAGUCGAGUAGUUUGGGAAUGCUGCUCUAAAUGGGAGGUAAAUCUCUUCUAAAGCUAAAUACCGGCCAGAGACCGAUAGCGCACAAGUAGAGUGAUCGAAAGAUGAAAAGCACCUUGAAAAGGGGGUUAAACAGUACGUGAAAUUGUUGAAAGGGAAGCACUUGUGACCAGACUUGGGCCGGGCGGCUCAUCAGGGGUUCUCCCCUGUGCAUUCCGCCCGGUACAGGCCAGCAUCGGUUCUUACCGGGGGAUAAGAACGGCAGGAACGUGGCUCCCUCUCGGGGGAGUGUUAUAGCCUGCCGUACGAUACCCUGGCGGGGACCGAGGUUCGCGCUUCCGCAAGGAUGCUGGCGUAAUGGUUACUAGUGACCCGUCUUGAAACACGGACCAAGGAGUCGUCCAUUAGAGCGAGCGUUUGGGUGUAAAACCCGCACGCGUAAUGAAAGUGAAAUUAGGUGAGAGCUUCGGCGCAUCAUCGACCGAUCCUGAUGUUCUCGGAUGGAUUUGAGUAAGAGUUUUAACGGACGGACCCGAAAGACAGUGAACUAUGCUUGUAUAGGGUGAAGCCAGAGGAAACUCUGGUGGAGGCUCGCAGCGGUUCUGACGUGCAA